AUGGCCUUCAAUCCCGCGAGCUCUCGAGGCAUCAGCCUCCCAUCCGUGAGAUCCGGCGACGCCGGCCAUCGAGACCCGCUGCUCUGCCAUCGCCUCCUUGCCGCUGGCAUCCCGAGGCCCUUGUGCUAUUUUGUGUUGGAUGUCAAGGCCACCAAGUUCGACUACAGGGAUUCGCCAACGCUCGGCCUCCUGCCCGAGUCCAGGCCGCCGUCGCGCCUUCUUGCCCUGCCUCCAUCAUCGUCCACUCCCUUCCUCUGCCCCGCUGCCGCUGCCUCCGCUUCGCCUGAUCUGCGCCUGCUUCGCCUCGAACAACAGCAACCAACUUCAGCUCCGAUGGCUUUCGAUCCCGCGAGCUCUCGAGGCAUCAGCCUUCCAUCCGCGAGAUCCGGCGACGCCGGCCACCUUGACCCGCUGCUCUGCCAUCGCCUCCUUGCUGUUGGCAUCCCGAGGCCCUUGUGCUAUUUUGUGUUGGACGUCAAGGCCACCAAGUUCGACUACGGGGAUUCGCCAAGUACCAUU
rnacentral:rRNA from 1 species